UGGAUGCCUAGGGCAUGUUUGCCGAGGAAGGACGCAUAUGGUAGCGAUAUUCGUCGGGGAGGAGCCAUACUCCGUAUGAUCCGGCGGUUUCCGAAUGGAGAAAUCCCUUUAUCCUAAAGAUAAAGACUGUAUUAUAAAUACGGUUCGCACCAUGAUUAUAAAAUUUAUAACUGUUAUAAAAAUUAUAAUUAGGGUGCGGACUGGAAUAGUAAUACAGAGGGCACCACCUGAACUGAAACAUCUCAGUAGGGUGAGGAAAAUAAAUCAAUUGAGAUUCCGCAAGUAGCGGCGAGCGAAAACGGAAAAGUCUAAACUUGUGCAUAGCACAAGAAAAUUCGAAAUUCGAAUAUCGAAAUCCGAAACAAAUUCAAAUGUUUAAAUAUUAAAAUUUUUUGAAUUUAUAUAUUGUUUCUGAUUUCGUAUUUCGUGCUUAGGAUUUUCUCAUGCUGUGCAUGAGUGUUGCAGGGCUUCUGAUAUGGGAUGUGAACUUAUGAUAAAAGAACGCCUUGGAAUAGGCGGCCAAAGAACGUGAAAGCCGUGUAUUUGAAAUUAUAGUUCCCCCUAAGGAGUUCCUAAGUACCAUGGGACACGAAGGUCCUGUGGGAAUCCGGGUCCACCACGAUCCAAGACUAAAUACAACCAUGCACCGAUAGUGAACGAGUACCGUNNGGAAUGAAAUAGUACCUGAAAUUAUCAGCUAACAAACAGCGAGAGCUUGUGCGUGGCACAAGAAUUUUCAAUUUUAAAUUUUCAAUUUUCAAUAGUUCCGCCUGUGGCGGAAUUAAGUUUGAGAUUUCAAAUUUGUAGUUUCUUUGAAAAUUGUGAUUUGAUAUUUGGAAUUUCUCGUGCUGCGCAUGAGUAAUCGCGUGCCUAUUGAAGAAUGAACCGGUGAGUUACCGUGCAAAGCAAGCCUAAUCACGUUUCAACGUGUGGAGGCGCAGUGAAAGCGAGGCCUAAUCGGCCGACAUAGUUUUGAACGGUAGACCCGAAACCAGGUGAGCUAACCAUGAGCAGGGUGAACCCCGAUGAAAAUCGGGGGAAGGCCCGAACUCGUCAAUGUUGCAAAAUUGUGAGAUGACUUGUGGUUAGGGGUAAUAUGCCUAUCGAACCUGGAGAUAGCUGGUUCUCCCCGAAAUAUAUUUUGGUAUAGCGGUGAGUCAUGCGGCGAAGGGGUAGAGCACUGAAUGAUUUGCGUUUCCUUACGGGAAUUCUUAUCAAUCAAACUCCGAAUACUUUCGUCGUUAUCUCACUAGUCAGACGUGCGGGGCUAAGCUCGUGCGUCAAAAGGGAAACAACCCAGACUCUCAUCUAAGGUCUCUAAACAAUACUCAGUGGUUAAGGAAGUCGUGAUUUUAAGACACCCAGGAAGUUGGCUCAGAAGCAGCCAUCUUUUAAAGAACGCGUAACAGCGCACUGGAUGAAAGUCGCGGCGCCGAAAAUGAACGAGGCUCAAGUAUUGUACCGAAGAUAGAGGGGGGUACCGUCCGGUACCCCCGGUAGGGGAGCGUUCUUAUUGCGGUGAAGGUCACCUCGUAAGGGGGGCUGGAGCGAUAAGAAGUGAGAAUGCCGGUAUGAGUAGCGUUUGGAAGUGAGAAUCUUCCAUGCCGAAUGCGCAAGGUUUCCGAAGCAACGUUCGUCGACUUCGGGUUAGUCGGAUCUAAGGCGAGGCCGUCAAUUGGCGGCGUAGCUCGAUGUAUAAACGGUUUAUAUUCCGUUACUAUAAUGUGUCGAUUAAGACUCAAAGGGGUGACAAUGGAGGAUUUGUCUGUGCCCCGCAACCGCGGGGUCUAAGCGUCAAGACAGUGAAGAUUGGGAAAUCCGUUUUCAUGUUUAAUCGAGGCGUAGGGAAGUCCAAGGGGAAACCUGCGGGCAAUACAGAUCGUUUUCUAUUCGAGAAAAGUCUCGUUGAGGAGCACAUGAUAUCCGUACCGCAAACCGACACUGGUGCGCUGGUAGAGAAUACUAAGGCAAGCGGGCGACAGCAGUUUAAGGAACUCGGCAACAAAAACUAGGCGUAACCUUUGGGAGAUGCCUUGCCCCGACGUAACGUCGGGGUCUCAGUAAACGACACUAUGCAACUGUUUAACUAAAACACAGGUCUCUGCGAAGCCGAAAGGCAACGUAUAGGGGCUGACACCUGCCCAGUGCCGGUAAGUUAAAAAUGGUUGGUGACCUUCGAAAGUUGGAAGCUAGCUUUUUAAGCUCCGGUGAACGGCAGCAGUAACUA
rnacentral:rRNA from 1 species